UACGGAGGGUGCGAGCGUUGUUCGGAAUCAUUGGGCGUAAAGGGCGUGUAGGUGGUCUGUUAAGUCAUGUGUGAAAGCCCUCAGCUUAACUGGGGAAGUGCGCAUGAAACUGACAGGCUAGAGUACCGAAGAGGAAGGUGGAAUUCCCGGUGUAGCGGUGAAAUGCGUAGAUAUCUGGAGGAAUACCGGUGGCGAAGGCGGCAUCCUGGACCGGCAUUGACGCUGAUGAGCGAAAGCUAGGGGAGCAAACGGG
rnacentral:rRNA from 1 species